rnacentral:rRNA from 1 species
CCUACGGGAGGCAGCAGUGAGGAAUAUUGGUCAAUGGACGUAAGUCUGAACCAGCCAAGUCGCGUGAGGGAAGACUGCCCUAUGGGUUGUAAACCUCUUUUAUAAGGGAAGAAUAAGUUCUACGUGUAGAAUGAUGCCUGUACCUUAUGAAUAAGCAUCGGCUAACUCCGUGCCAGCAGCCGCGGUAAUACGGAGGAUGCGAGCGUUAUCCGGAUUUAUUGGGUUUAAAGGGUGCGUAGGCGGUUUAUUAAGUUAGUGGUUAAAUAUUUGAGCUAAACUCAAUUGUGCCAUUAAUACUGGUAAACUGGAGUACAGACGAGGUAGGCGGAAUAAGUUAAGUAGCGGUGAAAUGCAUAGAUAUAACUUAGAACUCCGAUAGCGAAGGCAGCUUACCAGACUGUAACUGACGCUGAUGCACGAGAGCGUGGGUAGCGAACAG